ensembl:snoRNA
UCAUUCCUGAAUCAAGACUGGCAGCUUCCUGUUGGUUUCAAGCAGGAGCCUAACAAGAUGUCUUUUUAUGAUCUGUCAGCCAUUUCAGAACUUUGGCAGUGAAAUGGUCAAUUUGUUAGAAAGAAACAGCU